rnacentral:rRNA from 1 species
GGCGAACGCUGGCGGCGUGCUUAACACAUGCAAGUCGAACGGUAGAGCGAUUGCUUCCUCUCGUGACUCAGUGGCGAACGCGUGAGGAACACGUGAAUAACCUGCCCAUCACUCUGGGAUAGGCACUGGAAACGGUGUCUAAUACUAUAUACCACCCACCCUUGCAUGGGGAGCUGGUGGACAUCUUUAUCUGUUCUGGCUGGACUCGCGGGCUAUCACCUUGUUGGCGGGGUAAUAGCGGCCCAAGGGGGCGACGGGUCGCCGGCAUGAGAGGGUGACCGGGCACCAUGGGACUGCGAGACGGAGCAGUCUCCUACGGGAGGCAGUAGUGGGAAGUCUGACCCAAUCGGAGAACGCCGGAUGAAGAGACGUCGGGUUUGGGAUGACGGUCUUCGGGUUGUAAACAUCUUUCAGCAGGGAAGCAGCGAUAGUGACGGUACCUGAAGAAGAAGCACCGGCUAACUACGUG